rnacentral:rRNA from 1 species
UACAGAGGUCCCAAGCGUUGUUCGGAUUCACUGGGCGUAAAGGGUGCGUAGGCGGUCGGGUAAGUCUGAUGUGAAAUCUCACAGCUUAACUGUGAAACUGCAUUGGAUACUAUCCGGCUCGAGGAAUGGAGGGGAGACUGGAAUACUUGGUGUAGCAGUGAAAUGCGUAGAUAUCGAGAGGAACACCUGCGGCGAAGGCGGGUUGCUGGGCUGAUACUGACGCUGAGGCGCGAAAGCCAGGGGAGCGAACGGG